rnacentral:rRNA from 1 species
CCUACGGGAGGCAGCAGUGGGGAAUAUUGGACAAUGGGCGGAAGCCUGAUCCAGCAACGCCGCGUGAGGGAUGACGGCCUUCGGGUUGUAAACCUCUUUCAGUACCGACGAAGCGCAAGUGACGGUAGGUACAGAAGAAGCACCGGCCAACUACGUGCCAGCAGCCGCGGUAAUACGUAGGGUGCGAGCGUUGUCCGGAAUUAUUGGGCGUAAAGGGCUCGUAGGCGGUUUGUCGCGUCGGGAGUGAAAACGCCGUGCUUAACACGGCGCUUGCUUUCGAUACGGGCAGACUAGAGGUAUGCAGGGGAGAACGGAAUUCCUGGUGUAGCGGUGAAAUGCGCAGAUAUCAGGAGGAACACCGGUGGCGAAGGCGGUUCUCUGGGCAUUACCUGACGCUGAGGAGCGAAAGUGUGGGGAGCGAACAGGAUUAGAUACCCUGGUAGUCCACACCGUAAACGUUGGGCGCUAGGUGUGGGAUCCAUUCCACGGGUUCCGUGCCGCAGCUAACGCAUUAAGCGCCCCGCCUGGGGAGUACGGCCGCAAGGCUAAAACUCAAAUGAAUUGACGG